CUCGCUGGGGGCGGUUGGAGCCGCGCCGCGAGCCGUGACGUAGCCGCCCCCUCCCCGCCCCCCCGGCGCGAGCUGGGUUUUUCCGUUCGGGCGGUUGGAGCCGGUUGCCCGGCAGGGUGAUAAUGCCAACGAGCUAGAUUUUGGGGUGGUGCAGCGGGGAGACACCGAGAUGGAGCAGAAGAUGAACCAGGUGUUGCAGGGCUGAGUGAAAAGCGCGGAUACCAGCCCCAUCUGCAGCUUCCAUGACCAGGGGACCGAGGGCAAUGGGGAGGGAUGCCCUUGACUCUGCUUGUAAGGGGUUUGAAUCAUUCUGUAAAUGCUGGAAACCAAAGAAAAAGCUAUUGAAGUAGCAGCUGCACGGACAUUGUGGAAAGCUGUCGCCGAUCUCUCCAGCCUGGUAGCACUGCAGGAAACACAACUGGAAGAUUACAAAUUGCAGUUGGAUAGAGUUCACCUCAUACAAGUACUGUCGUGCAAUCUCUUUAUUGUAAAAGUGCAACUUAGGGCACUAGGCAACUUAGUGAAGACCUGCUAAAUCGACCGCCGGUCGCUCUCCCGUCAACUCCAGCACUACACCGGAACGAGAAUCAUAACGACUAAUCUGUGAUGUUUGGCUGUAACACAAGGAUCCUACAGUGUUGAGCAUUGAGGAACCUGGACCAUCGGACUCAUCUGGCAUGCCAACGACGAGGCUGGUCCUUUGACUCUUACCACCAGGUCCCCAAGGAAGGGAAUCGUCUGAGCCAAUAGUGAAUUAAACACUAGAACUCCGCUGGGAUCAUCUGCACUUCCUUCAGUUAGUUCCAGUUUGGGGUCUGCUGUUGUUCACCAGUUCCAAGUGGAUUUAAAUCACUGCUCUUCCUUUGUUAGCAUGUCCAGUAGAUUGGAGCGUUCUCUCCUACUGACUGAACUGCACUUGAAUUUUCUCCAUGUCAUCAUGCAGGGGUGGGAGGAAAGCCAAACUAAAGUGAGAAAUCAUGUUAGCAAAUAGUCAUUUGUCCAAUAAAUCUGAGCAACAUCCUGACAAUCUAAACUAAUCGCCACUUGAGUGACCAAACAGCCCAGAAAGAGAGAAACCCACAUUGCAGAGAGGUAGAUGACAUGAAAAUGAAAGUGUCAAGUAAAAUUCCAGAACAGGUUACAUUUGAUGACUCAGAAUCAGGGCAAGAGAUUCUCCCAUCAUGUUCUCCACUGAUCCAUUCAAACCUGCUUCACUCAGCACUGUCAUUAUUGAGUUAUGUUAUUUAGCAAACUUUUAGCAUCCUCAUAUAGGGAGAAAAAACAGCCAAACUUCCCAGAAGUGGCUUUACCAAUAGAUGGAAACUGGGAUUUAAACUCCAAACGAUCCCACUGUAUGGGGAGAUUUUGAUGGAUCAGUACCAAUAGUGAAAAAUUGAUGAUCAUACGUGUUGCUAACAGCAGCCAAAACUUGUGGGCCUUUUUGAGGGAGUGCAGCUUAGCAGAGAAUCAUACAAUCAUAGAAUAUCAGGGUUGGAAGGGACCUCAGGAAGUCAUCUAGUCCAACCCCCUGCUCAAGCAGGACCGACCUCAACUAAAUCAUCCCAGGCAGGGCUUUGUCAAGCCUGACUAUAAAAACCUCUAAGGAAGUAGAUUCCACCACCUCCGUAGGAACCCAUUCCAUGCAUGACUAAGCCAGGAAGGAAGGGAGCCUCUGGCUCAAACUUUGCCUGCAUCUACGUCCCUCCCUGAUGAAAUCUCUGUUGGUUGUGCUGGAGCCUGUGUUUUAGGAGAAAAGCAAGAGAUCUGUCUACAUUUGCCCUCUUAGAGGUGUCCGUCACAGCCUCAAGAUAUGCAAAAUUUACAGGAACACAUCUGGCUAAUUAGUAAGCAGAGAAAACCUCUCACUUAGCUUUUGAAAUGGCUUACCGAACAUGGUUUUUUUUUUUGCUUGAUAUGUCAUUGUCUAUCAGUGAGGAUAAAGAAGCGAGGAGAGCACUUUGGACACUUUGGGAUCUCUUCAUGGAAACAAUUUAGGGUUCCCAAGGGCAGCUGAAAGAUGGGCCAAUUGGAAGGCUGUCUCUGCACCACACUUUGGUAACUAUCGAGGGUUGGGAGUGUUUUCCCUCACAUGUUGCAGAUGUGUGUAAGUGCUUGAGACUCAGUAAAAUAAAGCUUUAACUGAGACCACUCUUGCAUUGUAUUGUUUGUGCCAGCAAGCUAUUGGUUGGGCGGCCAUAUCUCCACAGAUUUAUUUCCUGACACCACCUGGCACAGAGUAAAGUUACCAAGAGCUUUGGGUUUAAAGAACCCCGGGUUACAACACUUUGUUUUUCGAUCCAUUUGAAUUCCCCUUUGAAACUUUCAUCAACUUCAAGCAUAUAAAAGGUUGUUAGAAUGAGGAGGAAGAAAAAUUCUUCUUAACCUCUGAGAACAGGACAAGAAGCCAUUGGAUUAAAUUGCAGCAA